UCUUUUCCCAAGAUUCACUUGGCUCCUCAGGACAGAGAGACUAUAACUGAGGGGAGUAAGACCAGAGCAGCAAGGGACGUGUCCCCAAAGAUGAUAAGGAAGGGAAUGAGGAUAUACAAAGCUUCGAGGGUUCAGAAGAAUCUGGCCUGAGUCUCAUCCUCCUCCACCGCUACCGAACACUUAAUGGGGAGAUCUUCUUCAAACUCACAACCACAGAGAACUCAUUGUUUGUGGGCAGGCGGGAGCAGAGUCACAUGUGGACUUCCUGGGACGUCACACCUUCCCCUGGGCCUCUGCUUGUCCAUCUAAGAAAGGAGAAGGUGAGGCCAGAAGGGCUCGGCAUUUCCCUCCAGCUCUGAUGCACUGUGAUCUUUGAAGGUCAGAGAAACAGGAAGGGAGGCCACAGCUGCAAAGUACAGGCAGGGCGGAGAGCUGUGUGGAGCAGACCCAGGGAAGGAAGGAGGCAGAGAGAUCAACACACACGCAGCCAAGACAGAGGCAGACACUCAACUCUGGGGUCUGUAGUGCUCCCCUGCCACAUCCCCUGAGAGGUGUGAAGGUUUGUGUCCUCCAGCAAGGGCCAGCCACCCACCUCCUGAGGGAAAGCGGGUCCCAGGGGGAGCCCAGAGAGGAGGACCCUCGGAAGGACUAGUCAAGUGCUCCAGAUAAGAGCACAUGCACCAGGAACACCAACCCUUUGUUUUCUAUGUUUCUUGUUUAGGAUUCUUUCUCCCCCUCUCUCCCUCUCUCUCUCUCCCUCUCUCCCCUAGCUUCCUACUAUGCAGCUUCCCUGCUGAAUAACUCAGCUGUAAAGAAAAAGGAAUUUAUCUACUCCUAGACCAGGAUAAGGAGACUCCGGUACUCUCCAACUUUUUUGAUUGAUACCUCCUGUAGGUGAAAACUUCUUAAAUAAGCAAUUCCAAUACAUGUAUUGGGUUUGUAAAUCACAAACCGGCUACAUUGUAAAACAUACAUAAAAUGGAAGAUGUAAGGGAAUGAUCUAGACACACUUAACUUCUAGUAUUUUCUCUUUGCAUCCAGUGCGUUAUCCCGUGCCUGGCCCAGGGCCUGAGGACUGAGACGAGGAAGCUCUAGGCAGAGCGUGCGCAGAGACCUCAGCAGGCCGAGCGGGGAGAUUUUCCUCACGUGUUCUUCCUUCCUUGUGCUGCAAGUUAUUUUUUAAAUGGGGCCAUUCCUUCAUAAACACACAGAAGCCACAACAGAGAGAGAGAGCAAGUGUAGGGAGGAACAGAGACAGUAAGAGGAAACCUGAGAGCGGCGAGUCUAAGGCCUGGAAAAUAAGAGACAGGGAAAAUUGUGAAGGCCAGUGAGAGCCAGCAGCCGCCCCGCAAACAGAGGGCGCUGACAGGGAAGGGCCCCGGGAAAGUCCUGGGUCAGAUGGGGAGGCUCAGGGGCAUCCUCCUGGUC